UUAUUGGAGAGUUUGAUCCUGGCUCAGGAUGAACGCUGGCGGCGUGCCUAAUACAUGCAAGUCGAGCGAAUGGAUUAAGAGCUUGCUCUUAUGAAGUUAGCGGCGGACGGGUGAGUAACACGUGGGUAACCUGCCCAUAAGACUGGGAUAACUCCGGGAAACCGGGGCUAAUACCGGAUAACAUUUUGAACUGCAUGGUUCGAAAUUGAAAGGCGGCUUCGGCUGUCACUUAUGGAUGGACCCGCGUCGCAUUAGCUAGUUGGUGAGGUAACGGCUCACCAAGGCAACGAUGCGUAGCCGACCUGAGAGGGUGAUCGGC
rnacentral:rRNA from 2 species